rnacentral:misc_RNA from 1 species
GAAAUGCGAUAAGUAAUGUGAAUUGCAGAAUUCAGUGAAUCAUCGAAUCUUUGAACGCACAUUGCGCCCGCCAGUAUUCUGGCGGGCAUGCCUGUUCGAGCGUCAUUUCAACCAUCAAGCCCCGCGCUUGUGUUGGGGACCUGCGGCUGCCGCAGGCCCUGAAAACCAGUGGCGGGCUCGCUGUCACACCGGGCGUAGUAGAUUUUAUCUCGCUCAGGGCGUGCUGCGGGUUCCAGCCGUUAAAAAGCCUUUUUUACCCAAGGUUGACCUCGGAUCAGGUAGGAAGACCCGCUGAACUUAAGC